rnacentral:rRNA from 1 species
UGCAAAUCAAUAUAAAUUGAUUUUUUUAUUAUUUAUUUAUUAAUUUUUUUUUAUUAAAAAAUUUUUAUAUAAUAUUAUUAAAAAUAAUUAUUAAAUUAUUUUGUUUUAGUAGUUUUUAAUGAAAAAAUAUUUUUUAUUAUAAUUUAUUUGUAUUGUAAAAAAUUAUUGAAAUAUUUUGAAAAAUUUUUAUAAUAAAAGAAAAAUUAAUUUUUUGUACCUUGUGUAUCAGGGUUUAUUAAAUAAUUAAUAAUUAUAUUUAUUAAUCUCGAUUUUAUAAGAGUUAAUAAUUUAUGAAAGUUAAUGUUUUAAAAUUAUUUUUAAUAAGUUAUUUGAAAUGAAAUGUUAUUCGUUUAUAAAGAUAUCUAGUUUUUUUAGAAAUGAAUUUAAUUUAUGAAUUUUUGAUAUUAUUUAUUGUUUUGUUAAUAAAUAAAUUUAUUAAUUUUAGUAUUUUAAGGGAUAAGCUUUAAAAUAAAAAUUUUAAAAAUUUAAUAAAUUUUUAUUUAAAUUAUAUGCAUAGAAUUAGCAAUUAUUAAUAAUUUUGUUAUAAAUUAUUAUAUAAAAUAUAUUAUUUAUUAAUAUUUUAAUUUUUUUAUAAAAAUUUUUUUUUAAUUUAAUUUAAGAAGAAAUAAUGAUGAAAUUAGUAUAUAAUAAUGUUUAAAUAUUUUUAUUUGAUAAGUUUAUAUAAAGAAUUCGGCAAAUAUUAUAUUCGCCUGUUUAACAAAAACAUGUCUUUUUGAGUUAAUUUUAAAGUCUAACCUGCCCAAUGAAUAAUUUUUAAUGGCCGCAGUAUUUUAACUGUGCAAAGGUAGCAUAAUCAUUAGUUUUUUAAUUGAAAGCUUGUAUGAAUGGUUGGACGAAAUAUAAUCUGUUUCAUAUAAAUUUAUUAUAAAAUUUUAUAUUUUAGUAAAAAAGCUAAAAUUUUUUUAAAAGACGAGAAGACCCUAUAAAUCUUUAUAUUUUUUAUUGUAUAAAUUUUUUAGAUUUAAUUUUAUUUUUAUAAUAAAAAAUAUUUUGUUGGGGUGAUAUUAAAAUUUAAUUAACUUUUAAUUUAUUUAACAUUGAUUUAUGAAUUGUUGAUCCAUUAUUAAUGAUUAUAAGAAUAAGUUACUUUAGGGAUAACAGCGUAAUUUUUUUGGAGAGUUCUUAUUGAUAAAAAAGUUUGCGACCUCGAUGUUGGAUUAAGAUAUAAUUUUAGGUGUAGUUGCUUAAAUAAUAAGUCUGUUCGACUUU